rnacentral:rRNA from 1 species
AACGAACGCUGGCGGCAUGCCUAACACAUGCAAGUCGAACGAGACCUUCGGGUCUAGUGGCGCACGGGUGCGUAACGCGUGGGAACCUGCCCUUAGGUUCGGAAUAACUCCCCGAAAGGGGUGCUAAUACCGGAUAAUGUCUUCGGACCAAAGAUUUAUCGCCUUUGGAUGGGCCCGCGUUGGAUUAGCUAGUUGGUAGGGUAAAAGCCUACCAAGGCGACGAUCCAUAGCUGGUCUGAGAGGAUGAUCAGCCACACUGGGACUGAGACACGGCCCAGACUACUACGGGAGGCAGCAGUGGGGAAUAUUGGACAAUGGGCGAAAGCCUGAUCCAGCAAUGCCGCGUGAGUGAUGAAGGCCUUAGGGUUGUAAAGCUCUUUUACACGGGAUGAUAAUGACAGUACCGGGAGAAUAAGCUCCGGCUAACCCCGUG